UAAGGGUUCUGGGAGGUCAGCAGACAGCUACACUCUUCCUUCUCGGUCACAUAGAAAAGAUUGGCCUUGACAGUCCUCUAUCCGGGUGAGUGUUUUAGGGCAUAGUGCAGCACUCCAGAAUAGUGGGAGAGAUUCAGUUCUGUUUGACAUACUUUAUCUUGUCACCGGUCUGCAAAUGCUCAUUGGCAACGACCCUGUACCAGGCACACUGCUAAGUACUUUACAUAAGUCACCUUGUUUGACACUCAUCAUAAAUCCCAUUACCUUGUUAAUAGGAGGUUCCUACUGACAGAUGGGGAAACAGACGCUCAGGGGAGUUAAAUAACUGGUCCAGGGUCACUAGGAAAGAACAACGAAGCCAAGAAGAGUCAAACCCAGGCUUUCUGAUGCUGGACGCUGAGUGCUAACCCAGGCCUCCAGCCAUGCCUCCUAGAAGUACAGGCUUCUCCUUUCAUCCUAGAAACCAGGAGAGACAGGUUAGAAGACAUGUUAUUGGAAUAUACAGGAACCAUAUAGACAAAUGCAAGCUGUCGUGGAAUGUCCCCGCCAGCGGGGACCCAGUUAUUCAGGGUCCCGAAGAGGCUUUCUACCUGUGGGCCAAAUGGGGGUGAAGAGAAGAAGGAGACCAAGCAAAAGUUCUGUUGUCAAGGUCUCGUUUAUUGGGGUGAACGUUACAGCUUUUAAGGCUUUCAGGUAGGGGGAGUGUCCUUUGUGAAACACAGAGGAGGGGGAGAUGAGGGUAUAGGCAGUGAUAGCUGGAGGCAAAGAGGUCAGGCGGUAGGCGAUGAGGUCUGGUGGUGGAGACACUGGGUGUUGACUGAGGAGAUAACUGGUAUCUGCUCGAGCUGAGGCAUCCCUUGAAUGUUACCUUCCUGUGCCGUAAAUUCAUGGGAGAGUCCUCUGUCCAACAAUCUUAAGACUUAUGGCAGUCAUCUUAGGGGUGAAUAUCUGUGGCCAAACAGCCCAGAGUCACCUAGCCACUUUGAGCCAUGCAGUCAAAAAGCGGCUAGGCCCAAAUCCAAUACGGCUCCCUACAGUGGAACACACAGCAGGCCAUGGGAAGGGUCCCAAGAUGUCAUGUGCAUUUGGUAUUUCCUACGACAAGCUGAGGGGGGCCGAUAAAGCAGAGCUCUCCAUACCAAGGGCAUGAAAAAGCCCACAGGGUAAACAGCUGUGGGAAGGACAUGACUGACUUAUAAAUGCAGAUAGAGAGACGACAGAGGAGUGAGACUGGGGUGUUUCACUGGGGCCCAAGAACAAUAGGUACUGUAUGAUGGGGUGGCAGUAGGAGCCAUUGAAAGAUUCUAAGCAGAGAACACUCAUGUAGUAAUCAGAUGUUUGCAUUAGAGAGAUAAGUCAGUUUGUAAUGUAAAGAUUAAAUGAAGGGGUGAGGUGGGGUGCACAUGUCUCUAAACCAGCCUCCUUAGAAGGCAGAAGCAAGAGAAGGGUAAACUCAGAGCCAGCUUCAUAAACAGACUCUGCCGAGAAAGAAAGGGAGGAAUGUAUAGCAGCCUCCUCCUUUCCUAACAGAACCCCCGGGGUUUGUUCAGAAUUCUCUUCUUGUAACCAUGGCCGUUAAUAAGAAUCUUCCGAGAUAUUCCGGAGAGGUUUUUCUCCCUCCUACGUGAAGCAUGAUGGAAGAAAUGGCCAUCCUAUCUCUGACAACUUAGACUCUGAGUAUCACACCGGGAAGGGAUCCGGUCGACUAGCCGGAGGCUGAAGCUGCCACUUGGGGGAGUUUGAGACUAAGAGAUGUAGAGGGUUCAGUGAAACCCGUGGUGUGGCCGAUGUGCUUCUGCUCUGAAGCAGAUCCUUGGAAGGAAGCUGCUCUCUUUGAUUUGCUGACUUGGUAUUUUCUUCUGGGAUUGCUGCUACUGGCAGACCGAGAGGGAAGGUUUGCUGUCACCAAACGAAGCUAGCUUUUGUCCUUUGGCUGCAGAUAUCUCCUCUUGGCUUCCCAGAGAGCCAGCCCCACCACUCUGGUCCUCCCUAUUUGACCCAUGAGGAGCACAUGAACUUUCAACAUGCCAUGAAACACCCCUUCCCUCCCAGUUUCUAAUUCUGUUGAACACCAGUAAGAUUUGGAUGGGGGCGGGGGAAGACCAGUGAAUUUAGAGUGCCGAGUCCCCUGGGAUUAAGGCUGAUGUUCUGUUACCUGGGGACCUGCCUAUGGCUACAUACAGUGUAACUUUAAUUUUUUUCAAAGUUUAUUUUUAGUGAUGGUUCUUAAAUGCUUUAACCUCCCUUUUAGCCCACCGCCCACCACAGGUAGUGGAAAAGAAAGGAUACAGGGGUGGGGGAAUGGGGGGUGAGUGGACCUGUUUAGUAAGGUUCUUUGGCACAACCCCCAUCUGUGCUGUCUGGAAAUCAGCAGUUCAGUUCACAGGUCAGCUGUGGCAGCUCGAUCCACUCGCAAACACUUCAUGGAUACACCAGCAGUCCAGUUUGAUAGAGUCAGGAUAGCAAACAUGAAUCAGCAGCACUGGCACUACCUAGAAGAGACAGCCAGGCCUCAGGCUCGGUACAAGUCAGGGAUGUCAGGAGAAAUUCUCAGCUGUGCCACUCUCAGCAAAGUGAAGAUCAGUGAAGACUCGAGACCCACAAGCACUGUAUAGCUAGCUCUAUAAACAAGCCUAUCUCAGCCUCCAACACUGUCAAGUCCUUUUCAUAUGCCCUCCAAAAAUCAUGUGUCUUCCAUGUUCAGGUCUUGCCUCAGUUCAGGUCUUACCUCAGCAUGUACGUAUGCCUCAGCUGACAUCACUCUUCCAACCGGCCCGAGUCCUUGGAAGUGUCAAGAAACUGCAGCACAACACCAGAUGUUUUUUGGUGCAUUUCUCUCUGUAGAGUCCCAACAAAUGCAGCUCAACUAUGCAAAGUAAGGUGAACCAGUACUUGCACUGUUAGAGAAGAAUCCUUCAUCAUGUGUCCUUUCAUGUGUUUGCUUCAGCAGGACAUCCUCUCCCCUGUGUCUGCUUCAGCUAAACAUCCCUUCACGUGUUUGGACCAGCAAAACACCAUACAACUGACUUUCCAAAGAGCGCUUAAGUUCCCACUUCACUACAGUCCUUGUGGAAACGUCCCAGCUCCCAUAAAGAAAUCCAUCCCUCAAGCCUCUGCAUUCCAGAAACUGCUCCCUGCCUUUCCUCCUUGUGUAAUGAUUCUUUGAAGACGCGAUCCACAUGACCAUAUCCGGAGGCCAGCCUACCCCACCAAAAUGAAGUUAUAUAUAUUUUUUUUAGUUCCUAUUUGAAUGGUUCUGAGAAAUAACUGUGUUGGUCUGGUGGUCCUCACAAGUUCACCUUUGGAUCACUCAAUCAUGUCUGCAAGGAGGACUUAGCAUACCCGGCCAAAUCAAGUGAGAUCUCAAGACUGGAGGGGGAGGGACAGUCAGGAUCAAUGAUCCAGGCUAUACCAGGCCAGCUGCCAUGUUGGAGACAUACCAAAGUGAAAAAGAAAGAUGACUCCGGCCAAUGGCUGAAAAGACAACGAGACCUAUUGCCAUCAGCAACGGUAGAGAGCUCAGAAGGGGACCCACACUCUCAGUCAAUCCUUCAGAUGACUGAAGUAGGACAGAUGACAUUUUUUUUUGGCUGAAAACGUAUGAGACACCCUGAUCCAGAAUCACCUAGUAAAUUGCUUCUGGAUUCCUGGCCCAGAGCAAUUGUGAGGUAAUGAGUGUUUCUUUGAGGCACCAAGUUUUAGAGUAGUUCUUAUUUGGCCAAAGAUAGCUGAGAUAGUUAGCCAGAGUUAAUUCCUAUUGCUUGCAGCUAGAAGAACUCCGAAUAAGUAUGUCAGUCACUAGAGACCUCAACACACAAGAGCAGUUACUGUGGUCUUAUAAGAAAUCAACACUUACCUUGUAUUGCUCCCAAUGGUGCACCUAGAACUAAUGGGAAGAAGGCAGAGUUCAGCUUAAUAACUCCAGCAAUUAGAACUUGAAACAAGAGAACAGUUUGCUCAGCCAACUAAUGAUCUCUCUGCUUGAAAAGAUUCUAGUAGAGGAGAGGGUCUGUGAAUAUUCAAGAACAAAUUCUUGUGUGGGGAGAGAUCUAGAACUAACCAAUCUCCUGGACCCCCCCAGCCUUGAGAUUCAGUUACUUUACAAAUCACCGUGCCUUAAGGAUGCUUGCUUAGAGCUGUCAAACCCAACCUCUCCUGUUUCUCAGGGCAACCAGCCCAAAGGUGAUGUCAGCUGAGAAGGUCGCUGAGACAAGGGGAAAUAGAUCAGGGGGAUUUAUGAGGGGACAGACUACAGUACCAAGGCUGACCGAAACUUCUAUAUCAAAUGAGAAGGCCUUAAAGCUUCCGGUAAGAUGCUGCUUCAAAAAUGACCAUCUUCAGGUUAAAGAGAGUCAGUGAAAUGGAUCGUAUAAUCGAUUAACAACAAGCUUGGGGAAAUUGAAAAAAAGAAUCCUUAAAACAGGCUACAGAGUUCUGGCAGGUCAAUCUUUACAGAUGAAUGGGAGCCAGGGGUCUCAAACUGGGACAGUCAGAGUGACUGGAGCAUAGAGUGACUAAACUAUAAGCCGGAACCUUGGCUGUGGCUAGAGUUGAACUAUAAUCUGAAUUCUGCAGAAGUUAAAUUAAACUAUUAUGGCAAUUUCAGGGGAGUAUAGAACAACCCAUAUUGGGGGAGCACUCGGCUCCCCAAAUGGGAAAACUUGACCUCCAUUGGAAAAUAUGAACAUAUUGACUGCCAGGGUCUGUCUCUCAAUGCAAAGUCAAAAGAUUACAGCACAAAAGCAGUGCCAACAGCCAGAACAAGGAAGGACUCCUAUAACCCAUCCCAGCAUUCAAGUAGCUGAGAUAGGAAAUAUCUACCAUGUAAUCCACUAAUAAGAGUAACUAUUGUAGAUACGCGUGCGCUGGAAACAGACUGAGAGGAAAUGGCCGAGGUCUGCAAUGUCCUGGCUUGGCGUGCCCCUCCCCCCAUCCCUCCUCCACCCCAAUUCCAUCCUCCCAACAAGGAUGCUCUACUCAUAUUGUAAAGGAGCCAAUUUUUACUUCAGCAAAAUGUUUUGAAGCCUCCAGCUGUGGCUGCGUUGGAAUAACAGAGGUCAGCCAGCAUGUUUCACGUUUGUAUAAUAAGGAGAUGGGUUGAUAACGAAGACCAAAAGGCCAAGACAUCUGGAGCCACGGGAUGCACCACGCAAGAGGUCAGGGAAACUCAGAAAGGUAAAAAUGACCUCCCCCUAUGCCCGAAACUGAGGCAGAAGGAGCACUCCCAGCCAUCUUCGGGUCAUCUACUGAUGAUGCAUGCUCACGAUGUGUUGUGAGCUUUUAAGGUCCCAAAUUGAGGGAGAAAACCAUGAGAAGGUGUUUAAGGGCAGAGAGCAGGCUCAAUCUAUCAAUGUAUGAGUUUAUGUCUUCCAGUUUAUGACAUCACUUAGUCGACAAUGGUCCGGGUCUUAAGCUCCACGUAAGCCCCAAAUCCCACAAUUUGCAAGGCCUCCAGUAAACCUCUUAUAUAGACUCACUACUCUCAAUGUCACGGCAGAAGGACCAUGUUUAACACGGGAGAAGGCCCUUGGUGCUAUUAAUAAAAACAUGCAGAAUUAAAGUCAUCAAACAUAAAUGAGAGAUCAAUACCACUCCCUUCUCUGUGAGGCUGAGGGAUCACUGAGGAAGAGUGGGCGGAGAGACUGUACUAGCCAGAGGCAGUUGGCUGAAACAGUAUUUGGGAGGCAUGAGAGGUCCGUUACACACACGGACUCGCAGCAGCUAUGAGACCAUCCACAAGAGCCGUCCAAAUCAAGCCAGACAAGAUCUCAGCACAAAUGUGGAAGGGAGUCACCAAGUCCCACCACGAGCGGCUGUGGGCAGAAGGGUCAGUUUGCUUCAAAGAUGAGGCUCCUAAAGCAACUGUCCGCGCUCCAGUAGAUGGCACUGCGCUCUUGCGCAUAAAACACAGAAGACACCAAGUAGGGGCUGGAGAGAUGGCUCAGCGGUUAAGAGCACAGGCUACGCUUCCAGAGGUCCUGAGUUCAAUUCCCAGUAACCACAUGGUGGCUCACAACCAUCUGUAAUGGGAUCCGAUGCCCUCUUCUGGUGUGUCUGAAGACAGUGACAGUGUACUCAUAUACAUAAAAUAAAAUAAAUUAAAAAAAAA